rnacentral:rRNA from 1 species
GGGGAAUUUUGGACAAUGGGGGCAACCCUGAUCCAGCCAUGCCGCGUGCAGGAUGAAGGCCUUCGGGUUGUAAACUGCUUUUGUACGGAACGAAAAGCUCUCCUCUAAUAAAGGGGGGUCAUGACGGUACCGUAAGAAUAAGCACCGGCUAACUACGUGCCAGCAGCCGCGGUAAUACGUAGGGUGCAAGCGUUAAUCGGAAUUACUGGGCGUAAAGCGUGCGCAGGCGGUUUUGUAAGACAGAGGGGAAAUCCCCGGGCUCAACCUGGGAACUGCCUUUGGGACUGCAAGGCUGGAGUGCGGCAGAGGGGGAUGGAAUUCCGCGUGUAGCAGUGAAAUGCGUAGAUAUGCGGAGGAACACCGAUGGCGAAGGCAAUCCCCUGGGCCUGCACUGACGCUCAUGCACGAAAGCGUGGGGAGCAAAC